ensembl:lncRNA
AGUUUCAAGGGCAGGAGCCAAUUGUAUCCCCCUUUGCCUGGCAAAACAAUAAAACUAUUCUUUUUUACGUCACCCAAAACUCUGUCUCUGACAUUCGAUUUUGCACUGCUGCACAGAGACUGAGUUUUUCAUACCACUACCCAGCACAAAGGUGAAUAAAUGAAACCUCAGCAGUUUCCAAGAUACAGCUGUAGUACCCUACUGGUCUCUGAGGUUUUUGGUCUACUAAGGUCAAACCUGCUUGAACUUGCCUGGAUUACAGAGAAGAGCACCAUCUGAGUGGAGUGUGGGGGAAGGGCACUCUCCUCACUUAGAAUAAGCCUGAGAGGAUUUGGAAGCACUCAGACAGCUCACCUCACCUGAAGUAGCAAAACAUCACCAAAGAGAGGACAGUUGAUCAGGGCCUAGCAGGAGAACACUGGCAAUGCUCUAGAGGAAGAGGAGAAAAUCUCAGACUCUGAGGCACAAAAGUAAGACCUUAGAAAUCUUUCUGGUUUCAGAAGACUUGCAUGCUAAGUAUAUGCCUGGAACUCACAGUGGUGUGCCAAAGGAGGGACAAGAGGUGUGGCUGACCAGGGAGCAACAAUAGAGCAUGCAUUAUCUGGAGAGAAUUUUAAAAACUACUC